UUUUUUGUUUUUUUUUUUUUUUUUUCUUUUUUUCUUUUUUUGUUC
rnacentral:ribozyme from 1 species